GGCCGCCAUCUCCUCCGCCCUUCACCAAGGGCCGCCGGGAGCCUCGGCUAGGUCCGGCCCCUGUGACCGGAGGCGGCCGAGAGGCGAAGGGAGCUCUGCCGGAGGGAGAUGAGGGUCUGCCGGCUUCAGGCUUUUUUUGUUUUCUAAAAAGGAGAGGUGGAAUGCUAAGCAACCACGGUCUGUAAUUCCUCCCACGCUGGCACAAAGCAAAUGCAGGGAAGGUGUCGCGGGCCCCACCUUGCAGAUGCACUCUGCAACAAGUUUAUGAAGCCUAGCGUGAGUCUCCCGCUGGUCACUUCAGUGGUUACAGCCCCAAAUUCUUCAGCUCGAGCGGCACCAGUCUCAGGCCGUCAUGCUGCAAGACUACUGUUAAACUGCCUCUAAUCCUAAAAGUUCAAGACAUGAAGGCUUUGCCUGAGAAACUUGGGAAACACUCGGUACAAAGUAACAGGCUUCAGUGACUAACUACAGCAUCUACUGUAUAAAUUAUAUCAUGAGAAAGUGAAAGACUUGAUUUUUUUAACAGGGAGCUUAUGUAUGUGGAAAGCAGAUGCUGGUUACAGGCACACAUGGUGACAGUCCAGUUUGGCAGACCCAUCUCUUAAAAUCACAAUUACUGUGCUAAAAUCUGCCUGGGAGUAUCAGCCCCGACUGGAUUCCCAUCAUGUGUCCUUGGCACAAAUAUCAAAAAACACUAUUGGGUCCAACAAUAGUCGUGAUUUGUCUAUACCAUAUGAAUAUCAGCUGAAUAUUUAGCUGUUUUUAAACAAAAGGAUUACAAGUCCCAUUCAAGCAAUACUUGAACAGUUUGAUCUCUGCUUAAAGGAAAGAUUUUUUCUUCCUUCCUAGCCCUACAUGAGGAUCACUCACCUUAACUGCUUGUACUGGUAUAAUUUUACUUAGCCACAUACACAAAUGAGCAGAAAGGUGACACUUCAGAUUUGAAAACAGCUUAAAACAGCUGCAGUAGUAUGGAAAAUGAACCACUCACUGAAGUCAGGAAAAGAGAAGAAAAGGGACUUAAACAGGUGGAGGAAAGGUUGAUUUCAGGUAGACUGAAGGAGUAGAAAAGAGAAGAGAAAAUUAAGAUUAUUGAGGCAGCCAUUACAGCAUAGAGAAUGAAACAGAGAGGACCAGGGCAGUGUAAAGCAGAGCCUCUGACUACAGCAAGUCCAAGGUAACUGAACAGCAAACAAAAGAAUUACAAUAGGUGAAACAAAGGACUUCAGGACGCAAACAUGGUUGAUAGAACAACUGCUGAAGUGCUGAACUGCUGGUUGUACUGAGGGUAAAACCGAGCACAAAACCACCAUGAAGAACAGAUCUAACUGGGAGAAGCUGAUAAAAGCAAUAUCAAGAAUGCAACGAAAAUCAGCUGUGUAUUUAUGGAGAUGGGGAGAGCCUUUCUAGAAUAAUUAUUAAAACACAGGAAUCUCAACAAGGUUUUGUAAAAAAGUUAUUCACUGCCUUUGUACUUUAGAGCUCACAAAGGAGAAAAGCAGAUAAUAAAAUGUCAUAUUUACAAGAAACUCAGCACUUGGUAUGUGUAACAUCAGUUUCUACUAAAUGUAAGAGGCAUUGAAAAUAAAGGUUUAAGCAAACUGCAUCAGAAACGCAGCUUCUUAGUACAUG